CACGUAGGGGGCAAGCGUUGUCCGGAUUUAUUGGGCGUAAAGAGCUCGUAGGCGGUUCGAUAAGUCGGGUGUGAAACCUCCAGGCUCAACCUGGAGACGCCACCCGAUACUGUCGUGACUAGAGUCCAGUAGGGGAGCGUGGAAUUCCUGGUGUAGCGGUGAAAUGCGCAGAUAUCAGGAAGAACACCCGUGGCGAAGGCGGCUCUCUGGGACGGUACUGACGCUGAGACGCGAAAGCGUGGGGAGCGAACAGG
rnacentral:rRNA from 1 species